UACGUAGGCAGCAAGCGUUGUUCGGAAUUACUGGGCGUAAAGAGUGUGUAGGCGGUGCUCUAAGUCUGUUGUGAAAUCUCCCGGCUUAACCGGGAGGGUGCGGCGGAAACUGGAGUGCUUGAGGGUGGGAGAGGUAAGCGGAAUUCCUGGUGUAGCGGUGAAAUGCGUAGAUAUCAGGAGGAACACCGAUGGCGAAGGCAAUCCCCUGGACCUGUACUGACGCUCAUGCACGAAAGCGUGGGGAGCAAACAGG
rnacentral:rRNA from 1 species